UGGGGGAAUUUUGGACAAUGGGCGAAAGCCUGAUCCAGCAAUGCCGCGUGUGUGAAGAAGGCCUUCGGGUUGUAAAGCACUUUUGUCCGGAAAGAAAUCCUUGGCUCUAAUACAGUCGGGGGAUGACGGUACCGGAAGAAUAAGCACCGGCUAACUACGUGCCAGCAGCCGCGGUAAUACGUAGGGUGCAAGCGUUAAUCGGAAUUACUGGGCGUAAAGCGUGCGCAGGCGGUUUGCUAAGACCGAUGUGAAAUCCCCGGGCUCAACCUGGGAACUGCAUUGGUGACUGGCAGGCUAGAGUAUGGCAGAGGGGGGUAGAAUUCCACGUGUAGCAGUGAAAUGCGUAGAGAUGUGGAGGAAUACCGAUGGCGAAGGCAGCCCCCUGGGCCAAUACUGACGCUCAUGCACGAAAGCGUGGGGAGCAAACAGGAUUAGAUACCCUGGUAGUCCACGCCCUAAAACGAUGUCAACUAGUUGUUGGGGAUUCAUUUCCUUAGUAACGUAGCUAACGCGUGAAGUUGACCGCCUGGGGAGUACGGUCGCAAGAUUAAAACUCAAAUGAAUUGACGGGGUCAUAGCUGUUUCCU
rnacentral:rRNA from 1 species